CCUACGGGCGGCAGCAGUGGGGGAUAUUGCACAAUGGGCGAAACCCUGAUGCAGCGACGCCGCGUGUGGGAAGACGGUCCUCGGGAUUGUAAACCACUGUCCCCAGGGACGAAGAUCACGGUACUUGGGGAGGAUGCUUCGGCUAACUCGGUGCCAGCAGCCGCGGUAAUACGCGGGGGGCGAGCGUUGUCAGGAUUUAUGGGGUUUAAGGGGUUCGUAGGCGGGUGUUUAAGUCAGCGGGAAACAUCCGGGGCUCAACUCCGGCCGGCCGUUGAAACUGGGAGCCUUGAGUGGGCGAGAAGAAGGCGGAAUGCGAGGUGUAGCGGUGAAAUGCAUAGAUAUCUCGCAGAACCCCGAUGGCGAAGGCAGCCUUCCGGCGCCCUACUGACGCUGAGGCACGAAAGUGCGGGGAUCGAACAGGAUUAGAUACCCGAGUAGUC
rnacentral:rRNA from 1 species